rnacentral:rRNA from 1 species
AGUGAACGCUGGCGGCAGGCCUAAUACAUGCAAGUCGAACGGCAGCACAGCAGAGCUUGCUCUGUGGGUGGCGAGUGGCGGACGGGUGAGGAAUACGUGGGAAUCUGCCCAGUCGUGGGGGAUAACGUAGGGAAACUUACGCUAAUACCGCAUGCGCCCUUCGGGGAAAGCCGGGGACCUUCGGGCCUGGCGCGAUUGGAUGAGCCCACGUCGGAUUAGCUAGUUGGCGGGGUAAAGGCCCACCAAGGCGACGAUCCGUAGCUGGUCUGAGAGGAUGAUCAGCCACACUGGAACUGAGACACGGUCCAGACUCCUACGGGAGGCAGCAGUAGGGAAUAUUGGACAAUGGGCGCAAGCCUGAUCCAGCCAUGCCGCGUGAGUGAAGAAGGCCCUCGGGUGUAAAGCUCUUUUGUCCGGAAAGAAAAGCGCCGGGUUAAUACCCUGGUGUCCUGACGGUACCGGAAGAAUAAGCACCGGCUAACUUCGUGCCAGCAGCCGCGGUAAU